AGAACUAAAUCCCCAUCAACAACCACCCCACUAGGGACAGUCUCGACUCUCCACCAUAUAAAAAAAACAACUAAAACUCAAAAUAAAUUCAAAAUCCCCUCAAAAUAAAUUAAAUAAAGAGGCGGAAAAAAGAUGAAAAAAACCGCAGCAGCCAGCACCAACUCCAAUGAGAGAAUAUCGCAAAAAGCAAACGGCAAACAAUAAAAAAUAAAUUAAAAA
rnacentral:lncRNA from 1 species